rnacentral:rRNA from 1 species
GCGAAAAAAAAAAAAUAAUUGGCGGGGCAAGUCGGGUGCUCCGCAGCCCCGGUAAUUCCAGCUCCAAGAGGGGUAUAAUAAAGGUGUUGCAGCUAAAAAGCUCGUAGUUGGAUUUCUGUUAAUAAUUUAUAAUAAAAUAUUUUUAUGAAUAUUUAUAUUAUAUUAACAUCAUUCAUAAUACUAUUUUUUUUUUUAGUAUAUGAAAUUUUACUUUGAGAAAAUUAGAGUGCUUAAAGCAGGCAUAUGCCUUGAAUACUCCAGCAUGGAAUAAUAUUAAAGAUUUUUAUCUUUUUUAUUGGUUCUAAGAUAAGAAUAAUGAUUAAUAGGGACAGUUGGGGGCAUUUGUAUUUAACAGUCAGAGGUGAAAUUCUUAGAUUUGUUAAAGACAAACUAAUGCGAAAGCAUUUGCCAAGGAUGUUUUCAUUAAUCAAGAACGAAAGUUAGGGGAUCGAAGACGAUCAGAUACCGUCGUAGUCUUAACCAUAAACUAUGCCAACGGAGGAUAAAAGAGCACCCACCUCCACAAG